rnacentral:rRNA from 2 species
GGCUCUCGAGGGACACAGGAUACUUGCUCCCGGAUGUUAGCGGCGGACGGGUGAGUAACACGUGGGUAACCUGCCUGUAAGACUGGGAUAACUCCGGGAAACCGGAGCUAAUACCGGAUAGUUCCUUGAACCGCAUGGUUCAAGGAUGAAAGACGGUUUCGGCUGUCACUUACAGAUGGACCCGCGGCGCAUUAGCUAGUUGGUGGGGUAAUGGCUCACCAAGGCGACGAUGCGUAGCCGACCUGAGAGGGUGAUCGGCCACACUGGGACUGAGACACGGCCCAGACUCCUACGGGAGGCAGCAGUAGGGAAUCUUCCGCAAUGGACGAAAGUCUGACGGAGCAACGCCGCGUGAGUGAUGAAGGUUUUCGGAUCGUAAAGCUCUGUUGUUAGGGAAGAACAAGUGCGAGAGUAACUGCUCGCACCUUGACGGUACCUAACCAGAAAGCCACGGCUAACUACGUGCCAGCAGCCGCGGUAAUACGUAGGUGGCAAGCGUUGUCCGGAAUUAUUGGGCGUAAAGGGCUCGCAGGCGGUUUCUUAAGUCUGAUGUGAAAGCCCCCGGCUCAACCGGGGAGGGUCAUUGGAAACUGGGAAACUUGAGUGCAAAGAGGAGAGUGGAAUUCCACGUGUAUCGGUGAAAUGCAUAUAGAUAUGGAGAACACCCGUGGCGCAGGCGACUCUCUGGUCUGUGACUGGACCUCAAUGAGGGAAGCGUGGG